GACUUGUAACUGAUGACGUGAGGCAUCAUAAGGAAAUUUGACAACAUUGAAAACAUUCACAACAACCUACGGUCUAAAGAUGGUUUUUGAAAGGAUCAAGAAGUCCAUUCAUUAUUUCUACCUGCAAUACACACUGGUAACAUCCCUAUACAUGCUGGAACCAAUGGAAGUACGAACGUUCAACUCAAUAUUGAUUGCAGUGAUAGCCAUGUGUGUGUAUACCAGUUGUUCAGUACUGCCAGGACACUUCAGACUGCUGUUUCAGACAUUAGCAUACUAUAUCUAUGGAGCGGAAGCCUUUGAACAGUCAAUCAAAACAGGAUGAUACAUAUAUAUAUACCAGCUACAUCACAUGGAUUUUCAUUCAAGUAUUUUGUGAUGAAUCUCCAUUAUAUUCCAUAUAUUUUAAACUGAAGACUGUUGUCACAUUGGAGAAAGAGUUCUGUGGACUUGACUGAAUUUAAUAAUCUGCAAAAAGGAAAUGCUAAAUUUUCAAUGUCUUAUCUUCAAAAAUUUCCUUGGUUUUGUAAGCCAGUAUAUAUACUGUUCAGUAGUGACUGUUAGUUGGAUUGCUACUGCACAUGAAUGUACAAUAAUCUGAAAUUGGAGAAAAGGAUUUCAACUUUACCUAGUAAUUAUAUAUAUAAUUUGUUGUCAUUGAUUUAAAGUUGUGUAAAUGAACAUUUUAAUUCCUGUAAAACUGAAUAGCAAAAUUGUUCAUAUCACUCUGACAAGAGUUUGUGUCAUUGUGCAUAUUAUGUGUAAUCAGAUUUAUAUAUACUAUUAGACGUUCUUUAUCUCUAGUCAAUGAUGUCACCAUAAUUAGGCCCAUGUGUAAUAGAUAUAUAUAUACUGAAAAAUACCUGUCUUCUAGGAAGUAAUUAUAAAUAUGCACAUGACAUGGUACUCAACUAUUGAUUCAAAGACUAGAUUGCCAGUUCUAAUUCUUGCCUAUACAUGUACAUUUAUAUAAUUAACUGCUUUUUUUCCUCUUUUAUAUAUAUGCUUUAAUCACUGUUUAUAUUUAUUUGGUGCUAGAAAAACAAUGUUCUGAUUUUGUUUUAGUAUUGUUAUAGAACUGUGUUCAUUACUGUUUUACUAUUUUCAAUACGAUGGUUAAUGUAGUUCAUUUUACUUGCAGUUAAAUCAAUUCUGAAUUUAAACAAGGCUGAGAGGUUUUACCUUAUUUUGUUUUAACUUAUUCUAUAGAAUAAACCAAAUGUAGCCAAUUUUUAAUGUCCUAUUUUAAAUUAUGGGUCAUAUGACUUUUUUGUGUGUUUUAAAUUCUUUGUACAUCAUAUGUAUUACAUCAGUUGUGAAUUUAAACAAGGCAAUGAUUUUAUCAUUUAUUUGUGAAUAUAUGAUACCCCCUGGCAGCACCAAAAUGUUAUAUUUUAAUUAUGGGUCAAAUUAUUCUUUGGAAUAAUUUCAAUUUCCACCUUUGAAUAAUAUAUACAUGUAUACAUAUACACGUCUUUUCUGCAGACUUGAUCUCACAGUAAAACAGCCUAUAGUGGAUACAUUUUUAGACAUUGUCAUAUUCCUUGCCAGAAAUUUUAUGUGUAAGUAUAAGCUUGCCAGAAAUUCUAUAUGUAAGUAUAAGUUUGCUAAAACAUUAUUGGCUGUCCUGAUCAGUAUUUUUUUCUUAUGCUUCAAAAAAAAUUCGUAAAACAGUAUCAAUAUAUUUUCGCUUUAAUUUCUUUAUGCAAUAUAUACAUGCUAUAGAUUCUGAUUCACUAGGUUUUAAAGUAUUAAUGCAAAAAUUGGAUUUAUUUACAUAGAUAAGGUCACCGAAAUAUUGACAUGUAAAUUAAACUUGUUACAGUGGCUGAACAGUGGUCCUGUAACAUGGUAUCCUUGAAAAUUGUAAUCUGUCACUUUUUGGAUGAUGUCUGAAGGUAAAACUUUGUUUAAUAUUUCUUUCUAUCUUAACUUCAGUUGUUAAAUUGAUAUAACAUUAAAUAUACAUAUAUUUUAAUUGGAUACAAGAUAUAUACUUUUUAAUCAGAAAUAUAAUACCCGUAUGUAAAUUUGCAAAUAAAGAUUUUUUAUGCC